UACGGAGGGAGCUAGCGUUGUUCGGAAUUACUGGGCGUAAAGCGUGCGUAGGUGGUUUGUUAAGUCUGUUGUGAAAGCCCCGGGCUCAACCUGGGAAUUGCAUUGGAUACUGGCAGGCUAGAGUGCGGUAGAGGGUAGUGGAAUUCCCGGUGUAGCAGUGAAAUGCGUAGAGAUCGGGAGGAACACCAGUGGCGAAGGCGACUACCUGGACCAGCACUGACACUGAGGCACGAAAGCGUGGGGAGCAAACAGG
rnacentral:rRNA from 1 species